CCUACGGGAGGCAGCAGUGAGGAAUAUUGGUCAAUGGGCGCAAGCCUGAACCAGCCAAGUCGCGUGAAGGAUGACUGCGCUAAGGAUUGUAAACUUCUUUUGUCAAGGAAUAAAAUGAGGCACGUGUGCCUUUUUGUGUGUACUUUAUGAAUAAGGAUCGGCUAACUCCGUGCCAGCAGCCGCGGUAAUACGGAGGAUCCGAGCGUUAUCCGGAUUUAUUGGGUUUAAAGGGAGCGUAGAUGGGUUGUUAAGUCAGUUGUGAAAGUUUGGGGCUCAACCGUAAAAUUGCAAUUGAUACUGGCAGUCUUGAGUACAGGUGAGGUAGGCGGAAUGCGUGGUGUAGCGGUGAAAUGCUUAGAUAUCACGAAGAACUCCGAUUGCGAAGGCAGCUUACCA
rnacentral:rRNA from 1 species